rfam:Brachypodium distachyon strain Bd21 chromosome 4, whole genome shotgun sequence.
GUGGCGCGGGGGCUGCGCUCGCCGGAGCAGCGUGCUGGGACUCUGUCCCGCGCGCUGCUUCGUCGAGCGUGGCGGCCGACGCCUC